rnacentral:rRNA from 1 species
UACGGAGGGUGCAAGCGUUAUCCGGAUUCACUGGGUUUAAAGGGUGCGUAGGCGGGUAUGUAAGUCAGUGGUGAAAUCCCCGAGCUUAACUUGGGAACUGCCGUUGAUACUAUAUAUCUUGAAUAUCGCGUAGGUAAGCGGAAUAUGUCAUGUAGCGGUGAAAUGCUUAGAUAUGACAUAGAACACCAAUUGCGAAGGCAGCUUACUUCACGAUUAUUGACACUGAGGCACGAAAGCGUGGGGAGCAAGCAGG